rnacentral:rRNA from 1 species
UACGGAAGGGGCAAGCGUUGUUCGGAAUCAUUGGGCGUAAAGGGCGCGUAGGCGGUUUUGUGUGUCCGCUGUAAAAGUCCACGGCUCACCCGUGGAGAGUCGGUGGAAACGGCAAGACUUGAGGCUGGGAGGGGUUGGUGGAAUUCCCUGUGUAGCGGUGAAAUGCGUAGAUACGGGGGAGAACACUCGUGGCGAAGGCGGCCAGCUGGCCCAGUCCUGACGCUGAGGCGCGACAGCGUGGGGAGCAAACAGG